GAGCCUGUGGCGGAACAGGCAGACGCGGGUGGCUUCCAACCAUCUCCUCCCAAGGGUCCGGGUUCAAGUCCCGGCAGGCUCACCA
rnacentral:tRNA from 1 species